rnacentral:lncRNA from 1 species
UCCGGGAAAGGGCUGGACCACAAGGGUCUAUUGUACGCAGCUUAACCCUGCAUUUCUACAAGAGGCUGUUUCCACGGCUCGGAUCCGUGACCUCCUGAUCACAUGAACGCAACUUUACCAGUUACGCCAACGCUCCUCUUCAGAGAUUGAGCAUGAUAAACAUUGAAAAUCUGAAAACUACAUCCAACACUUCCGUUACAUGUAACGUGCAUAUAAAUAAACUGUCGGAACCAAAGAAAGGUAAUUGUGGUAAUCCCUACAGUAGAAAGUAUCAUUUCAAGCAAAAAUGUGAAAUAGACUCGUGAAUGCAAUAUUUAAGCGUAUAUGCACAUAUAAAUGGUCAGUAUAACUUAGUAUUACCACUACUUUCCAUAUUUCCUUCAAAAGUAUGUACCUGAAAAUUCUUAAGUUGUUAUUAGCUAUGUCGUUGUCGCUUUCACAUGAGGAAGAAAAAUGUUACACCUCAUUAACCCAGAAUCCCCUCUUUGCUUCAUAGGCAUUUUUUAGGCUAAAGAUAUGAAUCCGACUGCUUAGAGAAUGUUUAGUUGACCCGAUUUUCACAGCUAUUGUGACUACUGACUGUGAUUUUUAUGACAUAAUCCUCUGAUCAUUUCAGCCCAUGAUUAAAUGAAGCUUGCGGAGCACAAACGCAAACAUUUUAUCUAUCACAUUGCCCUGGCACCGGACUAUCUAAACAACAACCCAGUAUAAUCCCACUUAGUGGGGUCUAGGCAGGGUAGUGUGUACGCAGACCUUACCCCUACCCUGGGGUAGAGAGGUUGUUUCCAAAUAGNNNNNNNNNNNNNNNNNNNNNNNNNNNNNNNNNNNNNNNNNNNNNNNNNNNNNNNNNNNNNNNNNNNNNNNNNNNNNNNNNNNNNNNNNNNNNNNNNNNNNNNNNNNNNNNNNNNNNNNNNNNNNNNNNNNNNNNNNNNNNNNNNNNNNNNNNNCAAGAACUUCCCACCUUGCUCUUGGGGAGACUCGAACUCACAACCUCUCGGUUGGAAGUGGGGGUUGCUUACCAUCAGAGCAACCCCUCUUGUCUUGGCACUGGACUAUCUAUCAUUACUAUAUGACACAUUCACAUAGUAAUUCAGUCUAAUGGAAGUGAAAUGAUACUUUGUGAUAUGUGUGUGCGUGUGUGUGAGAGAGGGGGUCGUGUUUGGAAAAGGACUAAAUUAGAAGAGUUGAUGAAAGAAGGAUCAUACAUAGUUUGUUGAAUUUCUGGUUAUGCUUUGAUGUUAACUGAUCUCGAAUAUUUUACUACAUGCACAAAAAAGAAAAGAUGCAAAUACAUUCUGCACAAAUUAGAAAUCCCACACCUUGCGCAUUGUCAUGCCAAGCUAAGCAAUAUACUUAGUUUUUCCCCAAGUCAAUACUCCUCUGCUUUAUGGUCAUUAAGUUCUAAAAGUUUUAAUUUUUGCGAACAGUAAGCAAAAAUUCAUUCAUUUUCAAGUUUCCAAUGAUAUUUGCAAGACAAGAACAGAUUGUGCAAGUACACCCACGUCCAGCCAGAAGUUUAUUAGCUAAGGGCUUAACAGAGAGACUACCUAAGUCAUAGAUUCAUCAGCGUCAAAAGAGUCUCUGAUGUUUCAAUCAAUCCCAGAGAUUCCUUGUCCUAAUUAAUUUCACAAUCAAGCAAAUAAAAUAGAUUCUAUAUAAGUACGAUCUUUUUACAAGUUUACUUAGAUUUGUUUGCGGAGAAAUCAAAGCGUGACUUGAGUUCCCAUUCUUAAUAUACAUUCAAUUGACAAUCUGUCUAUUUUGUUCUUAUCCUAGGUUCCCAACUGCAUCUAGACAAAAUUGACCAUGACAGUUACAUCGGCAUAUCUACCGCUUUCUUCGUCAUAUUCAGGGCUUUACUAACUAACGUCACCAUUCAUUUCUAGGUCUGGUAAGUAAUAUUUCACUAAAAAUUUUGAACUAGACUUAGGGUCAAACUGUUAAAAAAAAAAAUUCCUACUCAAAGAGAAAACAAAUAUGAAAAACACCAACAGAAUAAGAAGAAAAGCAAAGGACAAUUUACAGUAAAAACAUAAAGAUUUAACACAUCCAUUAUCUAUCAUCCUAAACAGUGAAACAACAACAACGAAAAACCCAGUGGAAUCCCACAAAGGGGGUCUUUNNNNNNNNNNNNNNNNNNNNNNNNNNNNNNNNNNNNNNNNNNNNNNNNNNNNNNNNNNNNNNNNNNNNGGGGGGGGGGGGGGGGAUGGAAGAGUGGGAGAAUGUGAGGUUGUUUCCGAUAGACCCUCAUCAUCCUAAACAGUGAAAGCAGCCAGGAAUUUUCAGGUCGACAGGAGAUCUUACAUAUACUAAUAUACUAAUUAUCAAGAAACAGGAAGGUAGAAGUCAAUCGAAGAAUUACCAAUCUAUCAUAACACACAUCAAAUCUCAAGGAACGAACUUUAUAGCCAAUCCACAAUAAACCUCAAUAUAUCUCAAAAAGGUGAGAACUUUCUAUGCACAAAAAAAGAUAGAUACAAAACUACUUUGAUGAAAUUCAAACAUAUACCAGAACCGAGUUAACAAAAAGAAAAAAAUGUAGCAACAGCGACAUAUGAAGUAAACUAAUCAGGUCUCAACCUCACUUGAUUAUCAAGAAACAGGAAUGUAGAAGUCAAAUCUAAGAAUUACUAUUCUAUCAUAACAACCAUUAAUUCUCGAGAACUAAACUUUAUAGCCAAUCUACCAAAAAGGUGAGAACUUUUUAUGCUCAAACAACAGAUAUGCACAAAACUUUGAUGGGAAUCAAUAUAAAACAAAACAACAACAACAACUCCAACAACAACAACAAGAAGCCUAGUGAGAUCCCACGUGUGGGGUUCGGGGAGGAUAGUGUGUACGCAAUCCUUACCCCUACCUUGAAAAAGUAGAUAGGUUGUUUCUGGUAGACCCUCGUCUAAGAAAGGAUACAAAAGUAAAGUGGAUAAAAAGGCUUAGGAAAGGUAAAAGCAUGAAAUAACAAUACGCAGCAGUACCAGCAAAGCAGUCAGAAAACCAUAGUGCAAAAAUCAACAGGUACUAACAGAAAUAACAAAAAUCUGAGAACAAGAAAUGCAAGACUAGCACUAAACAGCGCACUAAAACAAAACCAAGUUUAAAAAAAGGAACUUUCAACAAAAGAGACAGACUUUUGAAUCUAUCAAGUUAAAUCCGGAUCCACCUCUGGGUUAUGGAUCUCAUUCCACUUUUAUCUAAUGCCUUAUAAUCAAGAAACAGACCAUUUUAUCAUAUAACACCAUCAAAUCUCAAAAUGCAAAUUAUAUAGCCAAUCCACCAAAAGGUAAAAACUUAGAUUGUUACACAAAUAGCCAGCCAGAUUCAAUCUUUACUUUUUCUAGUCGAUAUACAUAGUUAUACAUGUAUCAUACAUGAAUUUAUAUAUAUAUAUCAUAAAUUCGCCGGCUAUUUUUAGUUUAAGAGAUUAUGUGGGCGGCUAUUUGAGUGAAUUCUUCAAUUUUCUAUGCACAAACACAAGAAUGCAUCAAACUCAGCUUAAACAAAAAACAACUUGAAAAAGAAUCAAAAGUUCAGCAAAAAGAGACAUACUUUUGAUCUCAUCAAGCCAACGAGGGAUGCUAUCAAAAGUGGUACGUCUAGUAAUAUCAUAAACAACAAGAGCACCAAAAGCACCACGAUAAUAAGCAGAAGUAACAGCUCUAAAUCUUUCUUGACCAGCAGUAUCCCAAAUCUGAGCUUUUACUUCUUUACCGUCAAUUUCAAGAGUUUGGGUCUGAAACUCAACUCCAAUUGUUGCCUUUGAAUGCAAGUUGAAUUCAUUUCUUGCAUAACGCGUUAACAAAUUUGAUUUUCCAACUGCUGAAUCACCAAUUAUUACAAUCUUGAAAAGAUAUUCCUCACCACUUUCAUUAUCUGAUGAAUCCAUUUUGAAGUUUUGAAAAGUGUAAGAGUCUUUGGGGGGAAGAGAGAGAAAGUGGAAAUGGUGAUCUAGAGAGAGAGGGAGAGGGAGUUGGGGUUUUUAUGUAAUAAGUAAUGGGCAGAGCUGGCAAAGAUUGGUACAGAGAAUGUGUAAGAAAGUGGUCUUCGCUGGAUUUUUUUUAUUUUUUGGGUGAGUUUCCUUAUUUUGAAUGAUUAAUUAGUGGUUGUCCUUUUUGGGUAAAUAAAGAGGUUUAUUAUAAUUAACAUCUCUUUAAAAAGAAGAUUAAACCGUUGAAGUUCAACAGUAAGAGUUCGUUUGGACAUGAGAAUUUUUUUACUUUUUUUUUUAAAAAAAUCACCUUUUUUUUAAAAAAUUUAGUAUUUGAUUAUAAAAUUUUUGAUUCUCACUUGAAGAUGAAUUUUGAAGCCCUUUCUUUCAAGGGAAUGAUCUUUUCAACUUACGUCGUUGGAUUGGUCAUCUGUGAAGCUUUGAGUAGCCUUCUUUCUCCCGGACCGGCAAAAAAGAGUCCUUUUUUCCCAAGCGAUUAUGUUCUGUCUGUGGCUUCUUCUAGUUCAUGUGCAGCCUACUCGUGAACAAGCCCGGCUAACAGCUCAUUUUCCAGCAUUCCUUUCAAGAUGUGAAUUAGGAAGGAUUGGUCGACGAAAUAUGAACCGAACACUGAACCUUGAUAUACCCCAGAACAACAUAUUUUUGUUACCACGAGAUAUAUUGGCAGCCGCCGAUCAUUUGAUUGGGCUGAAAUUUGGAAAAAAUGAUCCGAUAAAGAAUCAAACUUAUUUAAAUGUUCCUGCUAUUUUUAUUUCCUUGAAAAAAUGGCUCAACCUACAGGAACUGUUCAGGAUAUUUUAAAGAAGGCGGAGGUUUUUAAGGAACUUCGUCCUAAUCAACCGAAAUUCAAUUAAGGAAAUAAAUUAAAGAAAUACAAAAAGGGGUAGUCAUUUGUAUAUAACUUUGUAUGACUUUUCUCUUCUAUUUUUUUGUAUUUCCUCCCUUUCCUUUUCUAUUUGUACUUUUUUAUCAUUGUUUCAAAAUUUUAAAAAUCUCAAAAAGCUAUUUUUCAAAUUUAUUUUUCACUCAAAUCACUUGCAAAAAUUCAAAAGCAACCCUAAAGUUAUAAGCUACAACUCUAAUUUUUAAAUACCAUAUUUACUUGAAUAAAAAUUUACUUUUAUUUUUUAAAAAAUUUACAAUUCUUAUGUCCAAACGCCCACUUAAACUUACUCAUUUUCUUAAAGUCAUCGCGCUCAACGUUUACAUAAAUCAACCGAAGUAAAAUAAAUGUCUUUCAUACACAUAUUUAUCACUUAAGUAAUAUGUUAAUAUCACUUUAAUUUUAACUGCUAAAAUUGUUUUUAUUGAUUGGUGUAAAUAGUAUAUACAGGUAAAUAUGUAUCCAUGAACUUUAACUUUUAUAAAAAAUAAAUACACAUUUGGAAAUUACAUAAAGAUAUUAUAAGUUACAAUUUUCAAUAAGUAAUUUUAAAGUUAUUGGUUGUUUGGUGCAAGAAGUGAUGGCAAAAAUCGGUAUUGAGAAUAUGCAAGAAGUGGUGUUGCUGGAUUUUAUUAUUUUUCCUUUUCUUAAAUAAUUUCAUAGAUGGGAGAUAUUUUGAUAAAAAAAAAAAAGAGGUUAAUUAUAAUUAUAUAUAUAAUAAUUCUUCUUUCAAAGAAGAAGAAUGAGCUUCUAUUAUCUUAAACCGGAGAUUUUUGCAAGACUAAUGGUAAAUUGAUACUUCCGUUGUCCCAAAAGAUGAUUGACCCUGAUUAGGACGAUUAGUUUGUCUAAUUCUAAUGCGAAUUUGAAUGUAAUUAUUUUUAUUUUAUUUUUCAUAGAAAAUCCAGUGUUAAUAUGAAUCACACAAAAUUAAUUCUUGAGUCAAUUUAAAAAAAAACAUAUAUUGUUUGUAAAAGAAUACUUUUUGGGAUUAGUGUGACGUCGUUUAAACUUUGGAUCGGGAAGAUUCUAAUUGGUUCGUUGAUUUUACAGCGAAUUUGUCUCAAUCUAUCAAACUACCCAGUAUAGUCCCACAAAAUGGGAUUUGGGAGGAUAAUGUGUAGACGAGCCUUACCCCUAUCCGAAAGGGCAGAGAGGCUGUUUCCAAUGUCUCAAUCUGUCAAGUGCCUCUGGCGCGAAUAAUUAAUAGUAAGGUGAAAGAAUCCUUUUCUUUUUUGAAAAUUUUUAUCAUGUUAAUAUGGAGAUGAAAGGUGGAUUGGAAAGAGAUAACAUAUGGUUGAAUUUGAACCUUUCACUUAUGUGAUGGAAACUAAUACCAUUUCCAUUAUAAAAGAAAUUAAUUACAAUUAUAAUAUCACAUGUACUCAGAAAUGAUUGUGAAAACUACAUGCACCAUGUUUUCUUGACAUCCACUCACUAUAAAUACAACAACAAAAACAAUCCAGUAUAAUCUCACUUAAUAGGGUCUUGGGAGGGUAGUGUUUACGCAGACAUUAUCCCUACCUUUGGAUAGAGAGGCUGUUUCCAAAUAGACCCCGGCAUCCUUUCCUCCAAGAACUUCCCACCUUGCUCUUGG